CAUGUACUCCCUCCAUCCCAAAAUAAGUGUCUCAACUUUAUACUAACUUUAGUAUAAAGUUGUACUAAGUUUGAGACACUUAUUUUGGGAUGGAGGGAGUAUAAU
rnacentral:pre_miRNA from 1 species